GAUGAACGCUGGCGGCGUGCCUCAAACAUGCAAGUCGAGCGGGGCUAUGUAAUAUCGCAAGGUAGAACAUAGCCUAGCGGCGAACGGGUGAGUAACACGUGGGUAACCUGCCUGGAAGACGGGGAUAACGAUUCGAAAGGGUCGCUAAUACCUGAUAAUAUCCUUUCAUCGCAUGGUGAUAGGAAGAAAGGGGAAACCCGCUUUCAGAUGGGCCCGCGUCCCAUCAGCUAGUUGGUAAGGUAAAGGCUUACCAAGGCGACGACGGGUAGCCGGUCUGAGAGGAUGUACGGCCACACUGGGACUGAGAUACGGCCCAGACUCCUACGGGAGGCAGCAGUUGGGAAUCUUAGGCAAUGGACGAAAGUCUGACCUAGCGACGCCGCGUGAGGGAAGAAGGCCUUCGGGUUGUAAACCUCUGUCAUGGGGAAGGAAGUAAGUGACGGUACCCCAAGAGGAAGCCCUGCUAACUACGUG
rnacentral:rRNA from 1 species